rnacentral:lncRNA from 1 species
AUGUGUGUAUAUUUAUAGAGAAAGAGAGAAAUGAACUGAAUUUAUUAUAAUCUUUUUUUCUGACAUCAUGACCCAUAACUCCUACAGAUUCCAGCAUAUACUUUCCCCAAACAAGAACAUUCUUCUGUAUUACCAUGUAAUACCUUUCCAGUCUGAAAAUCUGCAUCAACCAACACUACCUUCCAAUCCGUCUGGAACAGUUCCUCGUUCUUUCUCUGGCUCUGGAUCUGCGUCCCUGACAGUCUUAAAGAGGACAGACCUUUCAUUCAUGAGGAUGACCCUCAACUUGGCCCAGUCCAUGUUUCCUCAGACUCAAGCCUUGCAUUCCUGGCAGAAAGACUGAAGAAAUGAUGCUGUGCUCUUCUCAGUGCUUCGCGUCAGGAGGCUCUACUCUCUCAACCGGCCCCACUAUUGUCUCUUGAAGGUGCAGCUGUGUGGCUUGGCCAUGAGGAUCGGAGAGGAUAUAAAGAGGGCAGGAGAGGGGACGACUCCCAUUUUGCCACCCUGGCAGCUCUCAACCGGCUCUGCUCCAGCCAACUCUUCACAGUACUUAAAGUCCUUUUUCAACGCCACGAAGUGAUGCUCUCACCGGGUUCAGAUGAGCUCAUCUCCUCUCUAACUACACUAAAGUGCCUCGAGGGCUGGAACACUGCCUCAUGCUUCUCCAUCCCUGACAUGCUCAAGCCCAAUGCUGAUACAGUGCUCAGUAAAUUAUUGUCGUUUGGUUGAUUUGCAACAAGUGCUUUUUAAAUUGGAAUGCUCAGGGUUGAAAUAGUCCCUCAGUUGUUCCAGAUCACCAUUUUUUUUUUUUUUUUUUUAAGACGGAGUCUUGCUCUGUCGCCCAGGCUGGAGUGCAGUGGCGCGAUCUCCGCUCACUGCAAGCUCUGCCUCCCGGGUUCACGCCAUUCUCCUGCCUCAGCCUCCUGAGUAGCUGGGACUACAGGCACCCGCCACCGCGCCUGGCUAAUUUUUUUUGGAUUUUUAGUAGAGACGGGGUUUCACCGUGGUCUCGAUCUCCUGACCUCGCCGGAUCACCAUUCUUAAUUAUCCUCCUCUUGCUGGUGUGCUACAGUUUCUGGAUUCCCCCAGUCUAGAUAUAUUAACCUCAUGUGGCCUCACUGGACAGCCUCUUUGAGGCUGCCUUCAUCAACACCUGUUACUCUGUUGCCCACUUCAUUUUCCCCAGUCUGUUGUGUUGGCUCGACAUCCCUGAGUCUUGCCCACUGUCUGCUGUCUUAUUCCUGUGUUUGUUCUGACUUGACAAAUUACUCUCAUCUCAACUACUGUGUAGCAAUACUUUUUAUUCAACUUUUACCAAUUUCCUAAUACCAUGGUCAGUGCAAAUAUUCUCCAUUCUUUGGCUUUACCUCAAGUUUCCAUCCUAUUUUUUUUCUCUUUCCUAAAGAGAAGUCCAUACAUUCUAACUCUGUUAUGACUUGCUUGCUCCUUAAUCUCUUGUCAUUUGGUUUCCACUCUUCAUGCUGUGUUGUUCCCACUGGGAAAGGCACCAUAGACUUGAAGAGUCUGUCCUUGAUCUUGUCUUGCAUGGUUUCUCUGCAGCCUUUGGUGCUGUGGACCACUGCCUGGUCCUGACACUCCUUCUUGCUUUUGCUGCCUUAAUGCUCCAUGUGUCUGUUUCUUCUGCUACUGCUAUUUCUCCAUCCAGUCCUUUCUGAGAUUCAGUCUCUGCUUGGUUUUCCUUAGAGGCAAUUUUCACUCCCAUGACUUCAAUUAUGGUCACCUCUAUGCCAGGUCACACUUCCAGUUGUCUACUGGAUUUUUCUACUUGUCCAUCCUACUAUUAUUAAAACUUGAGAUAUCUCAAACUGGAUUUAUUCCCCCUUCCAAAACUGCUUAUUUUCUUCUACUAACUUCAAGGCUGAAGGUUUCUGCCCAUCCAUUGAUUGUAAUCUUCCAUCAGUCAUUAAAGUACAUGAUUCCUUCAGAUCUAUUCUCUAUCCCAUCUAUUUAGUUUCUGCCACCACCCUAAUUCUAACCCUUUUGUCACAUGUAUAAACUAUUGAAAUUAAUCUGUUAAAAUACUUUUGCAAAAAUGUACUCUUCUACUCAAAACAUCCAGUAGUUCCCCAUUAUUUACAGAAUCAAAUCCAACCUUCUUCACCUAAGGUUCAAGACCUUCCUUAAUCUAAUCCCAACUUUGUUGUUCCCACCAUUUCUUCCUCUAUUAUAUUUGCCUUAAAGAAAUAAAUCAGUUUAGUGAAACUGUUCUGCUCAUAAGAUCCCAAACACUUUAUAUGCACACAGUUGUUCAUGUCCUUUCACCUACCUGCUACAUCCAUCCCUCAUAUUCCCAUCUCUUCUGGCCUAACCUUCCUUCAAACCACCUUUCAAAAAAAGCUUCUUUGACCAUCUCAAUCUAAAUUAACCUCUUCCUCCCAUAAACUCCCUUUGACUCCAUUAAGCUACUGACAGUUUAUGAAAUUAUGUAAAUUCCAGUUUAUAUGUUAAAUGAUUGCUUAAUUUUUCUUACAUUAUCUUUCUAACUAGAUUGUUUGCUUCUUCUGGAUUUGAUCCCCCAGCUGGCACCUGGCUCAGACUUAAUUAAUGCUGCCUGUUCUUGUCUGAGUUUCCAUGAACUUAUAAAUACAAGUUGUUUUUGUAAAUUGAGUCCCAAACCCAUAUGUUUAUAAGAGCAAACACCUUGAGCAGGAUUAACUAUGUGCAGGUAUGGAUAUUCUGUUGCAUUUUUUUCUAAAUAAAAUCUUAUUUAUUGGCUAC